AGCACAUAUAUAUCUGCAUUGCAGAUUUCAAAUCCUAAAAUAAUUACUUCAAACAAGAUUGUAAACUUUGCUUGAGUUCAAUAAAUUAGCUAUUAACAUCAAAAUGAAUGCCAAAUAUAAUUCAAGUUCUGUAUCAGUGCAUGCAAUCAAACUCAAAGUGAGCUUCUUUGCAAGUCAGCCCGAGUGCAACUGCAUGCACAUGCUCUUCCACAUCAUCGUGUUACUCUAUAACCCUUAACCCGUUUCAACAGGUCCUUAGCAUUAGCAUCUUUGUUGAAAUGGUCACGUACAGGUUGCAGUAUCUUAUUUAGUGCCCUUGAUAAAGCAGGUUUCACGUCACCAGGGUGCAAUUCACCACUUUCAUAUUCAGCAACAAGUUCUUCAAAGCUUUUAAAUGUCUUCUCUCCACCAUUUUCCAUACUGCGUUCCACUUUGAAUUCAUGGAACCAUGGGAAAAUAAUGUAUUUAAUGUACUGCAGACAGGGAUUCCCUUCAACAAUCUUAGGGGGACAGUAUGCCUUCUUUAUCUUCACGUUUACUUCAGCCUCUUCAUCCUCCAUGAAGAUGGAAGAAGAUGGAUCACUUUUUGACAUCUUCUCUUGCCCUUGCUGUAAACCUGGAAGCAUGUAAUGUGAUAAAAUAAUGGGCUUGUUUUUCCUCUUGAUGUCAUCACAAUACUCUCUCGCAAGCAUAUUCACUUUCCUUUGAUCCAUGCCCAACUGACAAAUAUCAGCCUUAAGGAAAAAAAUGUCAGCACACUGCAUGCAUGGAUAAAG
rnacentral:misc_RNA from 1 species